rnacentral:tRNA from 1 species
AAAGAAAAAGAGGCUCAUGUCUAAGCCGCUAACUUCAGGCAUAAGUGGUUGAACUCCAUUUUAUUUCU